UGUGUUGUUAUUGUGAUCAUGGUGUUGUGGUUGCAGGAAGAGAGCAGCAGGUCUGGAUCAGACAGCCGUGGGACGGGACGGGGAACAAGAGCACUCUGAUAACAUCUACAGCAACGACUUCCUGCAGCUUGCUGAGCAGCAGGGACCCAGCAGCGCUGUGGAGGAAGUCAGCUACGCCUCGGUCCAGUUCAAAAACAAGAAGCAGGCCAGACCGGUGGAGGAGGUGGAGGACUCCAUCAUCUACAGCUCUGUAGCCAGAACAGGCUGAAGACAAACCACACCAUGAUGGUAGAUAAUGUUUUUUUUUUAAUGUUUUUAUUUAAACUUUAAAUUGGUGUGUUUCACCGAAGGGCAUAACUUUGGGUUGAACAUUGGGGGGUGUUUGAAAUCUCCAACCAUCUAGGGAGGUCCCGGGACACGUCUGCAUGGAUUUAAAA